GGAGAGAUGGCCGAGUGGUUGAAGGCGUAACAUUGGAACUGUUAUGUAGACUUUUGUUUACCGAGGG
rnacentral:tRNA from 1 species